rnacentral:tRNA from 1 species
GGUUCCCUGGUGUAUUUAGAGCACUCUGGACUCUGAAUCCAGCCAUCGGAGUUCAAGUCUCAGGGGAAGCU